AAGUGGUAGUUCCCAUCCUAGUACAGGUUGUUGGCAAACACUGUCCCUAAGCAGACAGUUAAGAACAAGUGUUGUUGGUCUUAACUAUCUGCUGGGCUAAGCAUGUAGAGAAAGAUGGCCUGACACAGAGGCCCAUGAGAACAGCAAUGUGACUGGCAGCCAUCAUGAAUGACUGGACCUGAUGAGUAUCUGUGAUAGAGAGAUUUCUAUGGACACCCUAAAGGAAAUUUAUUGUAACUGAUCUCUUGGUGAAAUGGUGUUCUCCACUCAGAUCAAAAGCCCUCAGAGUGUUAGGUGUUGCAACAUGCAAAAAGCCUGAAUUCUACAGUCCCCUUGUGCUGAUGAUGGGAAAGUCAGAAGAUGAAGAGGCUAUCCUGAUGGCCGGACAAUGUAGCAAUCCUAGAAACAAGAGGCCAUGCUCCUGCAUGUAUAUCCACCAUUCUUCACACAUGCAUGUUGAGUUUCUAAGCAGGUAAGGAGUGCAGAUAAAAACUGUCACCAGAGGUAAUCUUAGUCCUUGGUUGUCCCUCAGCACUUCAGUCUCCUUUCUCUCUCGUGAAGACACUCCUCUUACUGUCCAGGAUUUUUCAUAACACUGAAAAGAAGAUACUGAGGAAUACAGGUAGGAGGGGCUAACUGUAUCCUCUGUGCUCUGACUUCCUAUCACUAUUUUCUCUUUAGAUGUCCCCAGCUAUGGUUCUGACCUUCAGAAAAGCAGUCAAAGGUCAUGAGGAUUUCUGACAGAAUCAACACAGGCUGAUGCCUGUAAACCAAAGUCCUUUCCUGUUUGGAGCUGCUGAGUGUAGUCUGAACUGUGAGUCUGGACCUGCUCUCUCAGUGAAGGCACAACUUCUUGAACUCUGACUCUGAACUGUAGUUGUGGCUAAUGCUGCUUAUGAUCCAAAAAUCUAAUUCAGCAGUGAAAAUAUAAGCUUCCAACCUCUAACCUGGAACAUUCUGUCUCAGAAAGGACAGUGUGUACACUUGAAUGGAAAGACCAGAUCCUGGUGCUUUCCCACAAGAAGUUGCUGAAUGUGGCUACCUGGAAGGACAACCAAAGAGGGCUGCCAGAGAGAAGGCCACUACCAAUUAGCCAAGCAACCUCAGCUACAUCAUCACAAGCAUCUGUAGUAUGGAGGUCUGGUAAACACGGUGUGGGCCUCUUCCUUCCCUGGAUGCCACCAUCAAGUGAGAUAUAGGUCGUUCACAUCACUGUGUGGACCUAGAAUUCCUCUGCAGGUCCUUUUACAGGAGUGGAGUCCCUCCCUCCAAGAGAGGUUAGCAACUGGUCAGACAUUCAGGCCAUUUUCCUCUGCUAGCCUGUGCUUCUUUGAGUAGGUCCAAUUCAGUGCUACUAGGUAUGUAUAAUGCUUACAGACCUUACCCUAAUUUAUAGAGAUGGUAUGGGUAUUGAGAGCAUGUAACCUUGGAAAGCAUUUUAAAUUAGUUACAUAUGUUCUCACUUAUGAUCUACUUGCUGUCUCCUCUGUCUGUCUCUUCUGCUUCUUUGUUUCUAUAUCUCUCUGUUACUCCAGCUUUGUCUCUGCAUUUGUUUCUGACUUUCUCAUGUUCUCUAUCUCUCUUCCUCUCUGCCUCUUCGCUUCUCUCUCUUCUCUCUUCUCUCCCUCUCCCUCCCCCUCUCUCCCUCCCCUCUCUCUCCCUCUCUCUGUCUCUCUGUCUCUCUCUCUUUCUCUGUGGUAUCAUGUAUAUUUUCUGGGUAGCUUGUGGAUGUCAGAGGAUAACUCUAUUGAGGUAUUUCUCAAACAUUUAAAGGACCCAGAGAUUUAACUCUAUUUACUAUUCUUGGAAAAGUUUUAUAGGUGGAAGAACAUGAAGGAUCUGAGGCUGUGCCAGUCCAUGCUGGAGAAAUACCUGACUGGACUGAGGAGUAGAAACCUCAGCCAUGAACCAUGAAUGUGCUGUUCUCCUUCCCUGGAUGACAGUCAGAACAAUGGAAUCUUCUCUGUCCUUCAGAAUUUUCUUGGUUGUUGAUUUGGGGAUCCUCAAUCUCUCAACUUAGUUCCCUAAUGUCAAGUAGUAUUGAAUAUUAGCAUCCUACUUUAUUUGCCCCUGUUAUUUCUGUCUACCUUUAUUUUGCCAGAACUUUGUAUGGUUAUGACAGUACGUUUGUAUCACUUUAGUAUUGGCAAGGCCACAUCAGGGUAACCAGAGCCCUUACACAGGAUAGUCUUCUUGUAACACUAAUCUUGACUCAGUGGUGAGAGAGAACUUAAAACUCAGAGCAUGACCUGCCCCAGUGUGGUUCCUGAGCCUGGGAACUCAAAGCUCAACAGUCCAACCUUCUUCGUUUAUUCUGGGUUUGGACCUUUUGCAGUCUUUUCAUGUCAGUGUCAACAACUACUUCGGUAGUAGCUGGAAGUCCAGAAAUCACAGGGUGGGCAUUUCUUGCAUGAUCUUGACCCAUGUUGGGUCUUCUAACUUCUGUCUCCACAUUCAACAUUGAAUAUACCACAUCUCUCCAAAGGUCAUGCCUGUUCCAGUAUCCUGAACUCAGUGAGGAGGUUGGACCAAGUGUCAAAGGAAUGAAGGUCAAGCUCUGGAUUUUAUCAGAGAGUCUGAGCAAGACCACUGAUGUUCUGGGAAAAACUUGACUUUUCAGUGGGAUCUUCAUCUGCUGUACAUAACCAACAACCUCUGCCGUGAUGAAAACCAGAGGAUGAUAAAAGGUGCUGCAGUUGGCAUGACUGCUGACAAGAGACACUGAGAGGUUCACUUCAAAUUCAAUAUUCAGAUCGUCUUCAUGGACUUUUCUUAGUCUCCCCUUAGAGACAGAACUGAAAUUCACCAUGGACCACAUCUUUUACAUGCAGCCCCUGUGCAGGGAGGAGAACAAAGACCUGGAGAUGUCAUGCUGUUCACCUGAACAAAGAUUUUUACCCAUUUAAGAGUCUGGAAAUAGGCUGGACCCACUGUUGACAGUGCAGAAGAGCAAGCAACCAACACCAGACCUUCUGGGUGCUAGGACCCUGUCACUAUUCAUGGGGUAUCUAGGAUGACUCUGUACAGGCGGUAUGGCAGAAGUUAAUUCUUUCCAAAAAACAGCCUGACUGACAUAGUGAAGAGAGCUCCCACAACCUCCCAGUCACAGUCUCCAUCAGCUCUUGCAUGUCUCCUUGGCUAUCAAUUCAGAGAGUUUGUGAUUCUCCUGACAGGAGAGCUCCAGCAAAAUCUCGGACUUCAGGUUAGAGGGACAAGUAUAGCAAUGGGGUUCUUAUGCAUUGGUGCAAUGCUAGCACAUCUGGGGCCUGCAAAGACUGGUGGGAAAGACCUGGGAAAAUAUCUUCGGCAAGAAAUCCAUUCUUCUCUCAACUCACAAGUUCCUUCAUUUUGUUCUCCAUAUUCAGUCUCAUGAUACUGAACAGACUGUUCUAGCUGAUGAGGCCGGGCUUAGAAGAUGGACUACAGCCAAGAACCCUGGCCACCAUAACAACAAGUCACACCUUUAGGAAACACUUGAAAAGCACUUAUGCACAGUAGAAAAGUACAAGGAUUAAAGUCUCCUCAGGCAUUCCAGCAUAGAGAGAGUCUGACAGACUCAGGUCAGAGGUUACCUCCAAAUAAUAGAAGAGGAAGAAGGUCCUGCUUGACAGAAGAAGCCUGUGGCUGAGGCCAUUGCAACAAGGACUAUGAUUGUGAAACUUGUUUCUCCGUGGAUACCGGUUUCAGAAAUCUUGUGCCCAGGUACCCACAGUCCUCCUCACAUACCUCAUUUUAUAGAACUUUGCAAGUCCUGACAUUCUGUCAUGUCCUGAUGAUAUCCCACUAGACACAUCGGGUAACAAAGAUUUUUACCCAUUUAAGAGUCUGGAAAUAGGCUGGACCCACUGUUGACAUUAAAGGUGC
rnacentral:lncRNA from 1 species